rnacentral:tRNA from 1 species
AAAGUCUUAAGUUAUUAAACUAUUAACCUUCAAAGUUGAAAAUACGAUAAUAUAGACGUAGGCUUUA